GUGUCAGCAGCCGCGGUAAUACCAGCUCUCCGAGUGGUAGGGACGAUUAUUGGGCUUAAAGCGUCCGUAGCCGGCUUAGCAAGUCUCCUGUUAAAUUCAGCGACCUAAUCGUUGAGCCGCGGGAGAUACUACUAGGCUAGGAGGCGGGAGAGGUCGACGGUACUUCCGGGGUAGGGGUGAAAUCCUAUAAUCCCGGGAGGACCACCAGUGGCGAAGGCUGUCGACUAGAACACGUCUGACGGUCAGGGACGAAAGCUGGGGUAGCGAACCGGAUUAGAUACCCGGGUAGUCCCAGCCGUAAACGAUGCAUGCUAGGUGUUGGGUUGGCCACGAGCCACCCCAGUGCCGCAGGGAAGCCAUUAAGCCCGCCGCCUGGGGAGUACGGCCGCAAGGGUGAAACUUAAAUGAAUUGACGGGG
rnacentral:rRNA from 1 species